rnacentral:rRNA from 2 species
UGACGGGAGCUUGCUCCUUGAUUCAGCGGCGGACGGGUGAGUAAUGCCUAGGAAUCUGCCUGGUAGUGGGGGACAACGUUUCGAAAGGAACGCUAAUACCGCAUACGUCCUACGGGAGAAAGCAGGGGACCUUCGGGCCUUGCGCUAUCAGAUGAGCCUAGGUCGGAUUAGCUUGUUGGUGAGGUAAUGGCUCACCAAGGCGACGAUCCGUAACUGGUCUGAGAGGAUGAUCAGUCACACUGGAACUGAGACACGGUCCAGACUCCUACGGGAGGCAGCAGUGGGGAAUAUUGGACAAUGGGCGAAAGCCUGAUCCAGCCAUGCCGCGUGUGUGAAGAAGGUCUUCGGAUUGUAAAGCACUUUAAGUUGGGAGGAAGGGCAGUAAGUUAAUACCUUGCUGUUUUGACGUUACCGACAGAAUAAGCACCGGCUAACUCUGUGCCAGCAGCCGCGGUAAUACAGAGGGUGCAAGCGUUAAUCGGAAUUACUGGGCGUAAAGCGCGCGUAGGUGGUUUGUUAAGUUGGAUGUGAAAGCCCCGGGCUCAACCUGGGAACUGCAUCCAAAACUGGCAAGCUAGAGUACGGUAGAGGGUGGUGGAAUUUCCUGUGUAGCGGUGAAAUGCGUAGAUAUAGGAAGGAACACCAGUGGCGAAAG